rnacentral:rRNA from 1 species
AACGAACGCUGGCGGCGCGCCUAAUACAUGCAAGUCGAGCGAGAAGACGUAGCAAUACGUUUGUAAAGCGGCGAACGGGUGAGGAAUACAUGGGUAACCUACCCUCGAGUGGGGAAUAACUAGCCGAAAGGUUAGCUAAUACCGCGUACGCUCCUUGGACUUCGGUUCAGGGAGGAAAGCGAUACCGUGGGUAUCGCGCUCUUGGAUGGGCUCAUGUCCUAUCAGCUUGUUGGUGAGGUAACGGCUCACCAAGGCUUCGACGGGUAGCUGGUCUGAGAGGACGAUCAGCCACACUGGCACUGCGACACGGGCCAGACUCCUACGGGAGGCAGCAGUAAGGAAUAUUGCGCAAUGGGCGAAAGCCUGACGCAGCGACGCCGCGUGGGGGAUGAAGGUCUUCGGAUUGUAAACCCCUUUCGGGAGGGAAGAUGGAACGAGCAAUCGUUCGGACGGUACCUCCAGAAGCAGCCACGGCUAACUUCGUGCCAGCAGCCGCCGUAAG